UACGAAGGACCCGAGCGUUAUCCGGAUUUACUGGGCGUAAAGGGCUCGUAGGCGGCCAACUAAGUCAGACGUGAAAUCCCUCGGCUUAACCGGGGAACUGCGUCUGAUACUGGAUGGCUUGAGUUCGGGAGAGGGAUGCGGAAUUCCAGGUGUAGCGGUGAAAUGCGUAGAUAUCUGGAGGAACACCGGUGGCGAAGGCGGCAUCCUGGACCGACACUGACACUGAGGAGCGAAAGCCAGGGGAGCAAACGGG
rnacentral:rRNA from 1 species